GACGAACGCUGGCGGCGCGCCUAACACAUGCAAGUCGAACGGAGUCAAGAGGAGCUUGCUUUUCUUGACUUAGUGGCGCACGGGUGAGUAACGCGUGAGUAACCUGCCCUGGAGUGGGGGACAACAGUUGGAAACGACUGCUAAUACCGCAUAAGCCCACGGAUCUGCAUGGAUCUGCGGGAAAAGGAUUUAUUCGCUCUAGGAUGGACUCGCGUCCAAUUAGCUAGUUGGUGAGGUGACGGCCCACCAAGGCGACGAUUGGUAGCCGGACUGAGAGGUUGACCGGCCACAUUGGGACUGAGACACGGCCCAGACUCCUACGGGAGGCAGCAGUGGGGGAUAUUGCACAAUGGGGGAAACCCUGAUGCAGCGACGCCGCGUGGAGGAAGAAGGUUUUCGGAUUGUAAACUCCUGUCGUUAGGGACGAUAAUGACGGUACCUAACAAGAAAGCACCGGCUAACUACGUG
rnacentral:rRNA from 1 species